GACGAACGCUGGCGGCAUGCUUAACACAUGCAAGUCGAACGAAGACCGAUGGACGAUUGCUUCUAUCAAUCUUAGUGGGGAACGGGUGACUAACGCGUAAUCAAUCUGCCCUUGAGAGGGGUACAACAGUUGGAAACGAUUGCUAAUACAGAAUACGAUCUAACCUGGGCAUCCCGGCAAGAUGAAAGGUGGUCUGUAUGUAUAAGCUAUCACUGAAGGAGGGGAUUGAGUCUGAUUAGCAAGUUGGGGGGGUAAACGGCCACCAAGGCGAAGCACAGUAGCCGGUCGGAGAGGAUGAACGGCCAAAUUGGGACGGGAACACGGCCCAGACUCCUACGGGAGGGAGCAGUGGGGGAUUUUCCGCAAAGGACGAAAGUCGGACUGAAGAACGCCGGGUGAGAGAUGACGGCCGUCAGGUUGUAAAGCUGUGUUAGUCGGGACGAAAGGCCUUCUUGCUAAUAGUGGGAAAGAAUGACGGUACCGGAAGAGAAAGCCACGGCUAACUACGUG
rnacentral:rRNA from 1 species